rnacentral:lncRNA from 1 species
AAGCACGUUUCCAUCUCACAAACCACCCUGUUUUUUUUUUUUACUUUGAUUUAAGGCCGAAAAGUAGCUAACAGGUUUGCCUGUCUGUCAGACUACGUGAGUUAGCAGCGUUGCAAGAAAAUAAUCGUGGCUUAAUUUUUGUCUGAAUCAACACAGGGCUGUGACGCCUCAAUUUUGCUGGCCGGAAACGAGAGGAAUGCAGCCCCAAACUUUUCUGUCAGAGGCUACGACGUCAUCGACAGCAUCAAGACGCAGAUCGAGGCCGUGUGCAAGCAGACCGUCUCCUGCGCCGACAUCCUCACCGUCGCCGCCCGCGACUCUGUCGUCGCGGUAACCAUGCAUGCAUAUAUCAACGACACAAGAUAUCGAGCUCGCGAUUACGAAUUCUGUGAUGCUGAAUUGCUUUAUUUGGUUUUUAAUUUGGCAUGCAGCUU